GGUGGCUCAGUGGUAGAGCACACUUGCCUUGCAUGCAUGAGACCCUGGGUUCGAUUCCUCAGCACCA
rfam:Dipodomys ordii contig_22287, whole genome shotgun sequence.